rnacentral:lncRNA from 1 species
GUGGAUUUGAAUUAUCAUCUGAGAUCACUUGCUUUCAGUCUGAAUAACUUCAGUAUUUCUUGUAAGGUGGACAUGCUAGCAACAAAUUCUUCAGUUUUUGUUUGUUUAUCUGGGAAUGUUGUUAUUUGCUUUCUUUUUUUGAAUGAUAGCUUUGCUGGAUAUAAAAUUCUUGGGUGACUUUUUUCUUUGAUCACUCUGAAUAUGUUACCUCAUUGCUUUUGACCUCCAUUGUUUCUGCUGACAAGUCAUUUGUUAAUCUUAUUAGGGUUCCCUUGUAAGUGAUAAAUCAUUUUUUCCCACUUUUCAUUUUUUAUUUUUAAUUUUUAUGGUACAUAAUAGUUGUAUAUAUUUAUGGGUUACAUGUGGUGUUUUGAUACAGGUAUCCAAUGUGUAAUGAUUGAAUCCGGGUAAUUGGGGUAUCCAUCACCUGAAGCCCUUAUCAUUUCUUUGGGAUAGGAACUUAGAAUUCUACUAUUUUAGUUAUUUUGAAGAACAUAAUAAAUUAGUGUUAACUGUAGUCACCCUAUUGUGCUGCUGAAGACUAGAUGUUAUUCAUUCUAUCUAACCAUCCCCGCUUUAUUCCCCUUCCACUACUCUUCCCACCCUCUGGAAAACAUCAUUACACUCUCUAUCUCCAUUAGUUCAAUUUUGUUUUAGUGCUCACAUACGAGUGAGAACAUGUGAUUUUUGUCUUUCUGUGCCUGGCUUAUUUCACUUAAUAUAAUAUCCUCCAGUUCUAUUCAUGUUGUUGCAAAUGACAAGAUUUCAUUCUUUCUUAUAACCAAAUACUAUUUCAUUGUGUACCUGUCAGACAUUUUAAAAAUUCAUUCAUCUGUUGAUGAACACUUAGGUUGCUUCUGUAUCUUGGCUAUUGUGAAUAGUGUUGCAAUAAACAUGGGAUUGCAGAUAUUUCCUCAAUAUAUUGAUUGCCUUUCUUUUGGAUAUAUACCCAGCAGUGACACUGCUGGAUCAUAUGGUAGUUCUAUUUUUUUUUUUUUUUUUUUAGGAACCACCAUACUGUUCUCCAUAGUGGUUGUGUUAAUUUAUAUUCUUAUCAACAGUGUAUGAGGGUUCCCCCUUUUUCACCAUCUUCACCAGCAUUUGUUAUUGCCCAUCCUUUGCAUAAAAGCCAUUUUAACUGGAGUUAGAUGGUAUCUCAUUGCAGUUUUGAUUUGCAUUUCUCUGACGAUUAGUGAUGUUGAGCAUUUUUUCAUAUACCUUUUUGCCAUUUAUAUGUCUUCUUUUGAGAAACGUUUAUUCAGAUCUUUUACCCGUUUUUAAAUUGGACUAUUUGUUUUUUUCCUAUUGAAUUGUUUGAGCUCCUUAUAUAUUCUGGUUAUUGAUCUCUUGUCAAAUGAGUAUUCUUAAAUAUUUUCUCCCAUUCUAUGGGUUGUCUUGUCACUUUGCUGAUUGUUUCCUUUGCUGUGCAGAAGCUUGUUAGUUUGAUGUGAUCCCAUUUGUCCAUUUUUGCUUUGCUUGCCUGUGCUUUUGAGGUCUUACUCAAGAAAUCUUUGCCCAGACCAAUGCCCUGGUAUGUUUCCCCAAUGUCUUCUUGUAGUAGUUUCAUAGUUUCAGGUCUUAGAUUUAAUUAUUUAAUCUAUUUUGAUUUGAUUCUUGUAUAUGGGGUAGUUUCAUUUUUCUGCAAAUAGAUAUCCAGUUUUCCCAACACCAUUUAUUGAAGAGACUGUCCUUUUCCCAAUGCAUGUUCUUGGCACUUCUGUCAAAAAUGAGUUGACUGUAAAUGCAUGGAUUUAUUUCUGGAUUUUCUUUUCUGUUCUAUUGGUCAAUGUGUCUGUUUUUAUGACAGUACCUUGUUAUUUUGGUUACUAUAGCUCUGCAGUAUAAUUUGAAGUCAGGUACUGUGAUUCCUCCAGUUUUGUUCUUUUUCUCAGGAUGGCUUUUGCUAUUCUUGGUCUUUUAUGGUUUAAUAUACAUUUUAGGAUUAUUUUUUCUAUUUCUGUGAAGAUGUUAUUGGAAUUUUGAUAGGGAUUGCAUUGAAACUGUAGAUUGCUUUGGGUAGUAUGGAUAUCUUAACAACAUUUAUUCUUCCAAACCAUGAAUAUGCAAUAUCCUUUCAUUUUUUUGUUUCUUUCAUCAAUGUUUCAUCAAUGUUUUACAGUUUUCAUAGUAGAGAUUUUUCACUUCUUUGGUUAAGUAUAUAUAUAUAUACAUAUAUAUAUCUCACCAUGGAAUACUACUCAGACAUAAAAAAUGAAAUAAUAUGUUUUGCAGCAACUUGGAUGAAACUGGAGGCCAUUAUCCUAAGUGAAGUAACUCAGGAAUGGAAAAUCGAAUACCACAUGUUCUCACUUAUAAGUAGGGGCUAAGUGAUGGGUAUGUAAAGGUUUGCAGAAUGGUAUAACGGACAUUGGAGUCUCAGAAGUGGGGGAGGGCUGGAGGGAGGUGAAGGAUAAAAAAUACCACCUGUUCGGUACAAUGCACACUAUUCAGGUGACAGAUACACUUAAAGCCCAGGCUUCACUACUAUACAAUUCACCCAUGUAACCAAAAACCACUUGUACCCCUAAAGCUAUUGAAAUAUAAAUAAAUUAAUAAGCAAUUAAACAGACAACCUACAAAAUUGAAGAAAAUAUUUUCAAACUAUCUCAUAAUGGUCUCAUACUUGUAAUCUAUAAGGAACUUAAACGAUUCAACAAGCUAAAACCAAAUAACCCCAUUAAAAAGUGGGCAAACGAUAUGAACAGACACUUCUCAAAAGAAGACAUACGGUUGGGCGAGGUGGCUCAUGCUUGUAAUCCCAGCACUUUCGGAGGCCGAGGCAGGUGGAUCACGAGGUCAGGAGUUCGAGACCAGCCUGGCCAAUAUGGCGAACCCCCCACCUCUCCUAAAAAUACAAAAGUUAGCCAGGCAUGGUGGCAUGCACCUAUAGUCCCAGCUACUUGGGAGGCUGAGGCAGAAGAAUCACUUGAACCCAGGAGGCGGAGGUUGCAGUGAGCUGAGAUCGUACCAUUGCACUCCAGCCUGGGCAACACAGCAAGACUCCAUCUCAAAAAAAUAUAUACAUAUGGCCAACAAUCAUAUGAAAUAAAGCUCAACAUCACAUUAGAGAAAUAAAAAUCAAAACCACAGUGAGAUACCAUCUCACACCAGUCAGAAUGGCUGUUACUAAAAAGUCAAAUAACAGAUGCUGGCAAGGCUGUGGAAAAAAGGGAAGAUUUAUACAUUGCUGAUGGGAAUGAAAAUGAGUUAAGCCACAGUGGAAAGCAGCUUAAAGAUUUAUCAAAGAACUUAAACAAGCUACCAUUUGACCCAGCAAUCCCAUUACUGGGUAUCUACCCAAAGGAAAAUUAAUCAUUUUAGCAAACAGAUACUGCACUUGUAUAUUCAUCAUAGUACUAUCUACAAUAGCAAAGACAUGAAAUCAACCUAAGUAUCCAUCAACAGAGGAUUGGAUAAAUAAAUUCCUCUGUAAUGGGAGAUUUGCCUCUUUUCCUCCAUUAAUUAAUUAAUUAUUAAUUAAGUCAUUUGUGUCCAUAUGGACUCCUCUAUUUUAUACUUUGUGUUAUAAUCUAAUACUGCAUUACAGACAAACCUCAACUUAUGACCAUUUGACUUACAAAUUUUCAAGUUUAUGGUGGGUUUAUUGGGAUGUAAUUGCGUGGUAAGCUGAGGAGCAUCUGGACUUAUGGUUUGACUUAUGAUUUUUUGACUUUAUGAUGGGUUUGUUGGGGUACUAAAUGCCUUUUCAACUUACAAUAUUUCUAACUUAUGAUGGGUUUAUUAAGUCAUAGCCCCAUCAGAAGGUGAGGAGUAUCUAUAUUUUAUUGAGGCAAUUUUUCCAAAUUUGGCAAUCUUUCAGGAUGACUCCUCUAUUCCUUUGCCAUGCCUUCAUCUUUUUUUUUUUUUUUUUCCUCAAUUCCUUACUUUCUGGUGCUAUGAGAUUCUCCAGGCCCAUCUUGUAUUUCCCCUGCCUUGGUCCUAGAAUCAGUUAUUUCUCCAAGUAGCUCUAGUUCCUUUUAUUGGAGAAUGAUAUUAGAAUCCAAGGUCUUAGCAUUGGGUGUGCUUGUUGCUACUAGGGUACUAUUGCUUCUAGGCCCUCUCAGGACACAGGGCUAGGAACUAUACAUAUGUAUACUGACUCAUGUAUAUACGCACAUGUAAUUAUUUUUGUAUCUAUUCACCUCUAUCAAUAUUAAGUUAAACUUGAGUACAUACCGAUGUCUCUGAAUCGAAUCCAGUACCACAUAGUUCAUCCUAGCCUUCUUGAUUAUUUGUACUUCCCACCUACAGUUCAUUUACUUAUUUUUUCAAUCUUAGUAUACAUGUAUGGCUGUUUCAGAAUUGUCUACACAUAUCCCCUUGAGAAACAACUUUGCCAAUUAGAGUACAAUAUUUAUGUAUAGUUUCUUUAUAUUUUGUUUUAUAUUUUCCAGAAGAAACACUGUUUCGCAAAGUUACUUUGAGACUAUAUGGUCUUUUAAAGUUUGGUAGCAUUUCCCUGUGAAACUAUCUGGGGAUUGAUACUUUUUGGUAAGUAGUUCCUUAUAAUUUUCUCUAUUUCUUCUUUUUAAAAAAUGUUCUCUCUUUCUUCUAUGAAGAUUGAGCUCUUCAAUUUUCAUAUCUCUAAUAAAGUUGUUUUUCGUAAUCUUUACUUUGCUAGGAAAUUAUCUCUAUCAUCUAGAUUUUGAAAUUUGUUUGCACAGAGGUCUGCAAAGUAGUCUCUUAUAAUGUCUUAAAUUUCUUCUAAUAGUUAUUUCCCCAUUCUUUAUUUUGCAUACUUUUGCUUUCUCUGUUUUAUUUCAAUUAAUGUAGCUAAUGGUUUGUCUGUAUUAUCAAUCUUUUAAAAAAUAAAGGUUUUGAUUCGUUAACUAGGUCUAUGCUAUUUCUAUUCUUUUGUUAAUUCUUACUUUUUUUGUUAAUCUCUUGUGUUCUUUUACUUAAUUUGUUGUACUUAUUCUAAGUUUCUUUCUGUUUUUUGCUGGUGCUCUACCAAGAUCCAUUUGGACAUUUUUUUUUAAGUUGUGUUAAAAACACAUAGCUUAAAACUCAUCACCUUAACUAUUUUGAAGCAGAGAGUUGAGAAGUGUCAAGUAUAUUCACAUUGUUGUGCACAUUUUAAAAAUUUUUGUUAGUUCAAUAUUUAAUCAAUUUAUUUUCAAUCUUUUAUUUUUACUAAUAGCAGUGUUUAGUUAUAAAAUUUCCUCUGAUCACUGCUUUAUAUUUAUCCCAUGGAUUCUGAUAUGAAGUGUUUACAUCAUCAUUAUUUGUUUUAGAGAUCAUGUAGUUUUGGUUUAUAUUUUUCUUUUAAACCAAGAGUUAAUUGAAGGUUUUUAAAAUUUAUUUUUUAAAUGUAUAAUGGGCACAUAAUUGUACAUAUAUAUGGGAUACAAUGUGGUGUUUCAAUGCA